GAGGCGGGGCCACCGGAGUGCCUAAGAGCUGUCUUCCGAUGUCGCUCUUCCUUUCCCGCGCGACCGGCGAGGGAGGAAGAAGCGCGAAGAGCCGUUAGUCAUGCCGGUGUGGUGGCGGCGGCGGAGACUGCGGGCCCGUAGCUGGGCUCUGCGAGGUGCAAGAAAGCCUUUGAGGUGAAGGUGUAUGAAAGUCAUCAUAACAGAUGUUUUCCAAAAACUUGUAGAAGGUUGUGAAAAAACUACUAGGAUCACGCGGCAUGUAUUGAGGUGUGGCAUGCAGCAUUUUGGAAGGAAAAUUGAAGACGUGUUCAAGAAAACAUGAACAGAAGCAAAUGAUGAAAAUGAGCAUUUUACUUGAUGUUGAUAACAUCACAAUAAAUUAUGGAGAAAAAUACAUAUUUGGCUAACUUUUAAUUGCUGAACAAUAAAGUGUUUUCUUUUAAAUCAACUCUAAAUAGCUCCAUUCUCAUAGUCACUAGUCAGACCUGUUUUGAACAUAUUCGAAAGAUUAUAAUCUUGUCAAUAAUUAGCUUAUUUAUGGGUGGUGAUUCUCAUUGAGGCUGACAGCUGGGGAGACAUUGCUUGUACCUCUAGGUUCCCUGUCUGGCUUCCCCUUCAGAGCCUGCUGUUGUACCAGGUGGUUGAAUCUUAAAACUCUUUAAUACCAAAUAGCAAUCAAAUUCCCCCUUACAGAUAAAGGUUUCACCUUUUUUAUUCAGUUUGCUUUCAUCUUUGUGAACAAAAAAGUCAUCCUAAUACUAGUACAUGUAAUAACUAAGCAAUAUGCUAUGUUAAGAGAAAUGACUGAGCAGACCAGUCUGUCUAGGACUAAAUUGGCAAGAAUUCUAAAGCUGAAUUUAUAUCUGGGUGAAGGUUUAGAGCUAAAUCUUUUCUCCUGUUGAGUACUAGCUUAUAAAUUCCUUUUACCAAGGUUAUAAUUUUUAUAUGAUAAAUGGUAUAAAACCUGUAUAGCAACAUCUUAGUCACUUCCCUCAGUAUAGAUUUGGGGGGUAUAAGUGCAGUUCUGUUGCAUAGGUAUAUGAAGUAGUUUGGAGUCUGAGCUUUUUGUGCAGCCAUUACCUGAAUGGUGUACAUUGCACCCAUUAAUUUUUCGUCCUGCACCCCACCCCCUUCUAAUUCUCCAAUAACCUUUAAAAUACCGUUGGCAUAUUUAAUAUUAAUGAAUUACCUCCCAUAAUUGUUUCUGAAUGUACACUUCUACUCUUUAAUGAGAAACUUAAACAUUUUAAUUUUUUUGUGGUGAAGUAACCAUCUUUGAGACUGAGGUUGGGUUUUUUGAGCUGGGGAGAUUAAGGUGGCAGUGAGCUAUGAUUGCAUCAGUACACUACAGCUUGGGUGACAGCUACAUAUAAAUAUGUAUAUAUAAAUAUAGAUAAGUAAAUAAAAGCCAUCUUUGUGCCAUGCAUGGUGGCUCACUCCUGUAAUCCCAACACUGGGAAGCUGAGGUACUGAGAUGGGAGGAUGACUUGAGACCAGCCUGGGAAACAUGGCAAAAUUCCAUCUCUACAAAAAAUGCAGAAGUUAUCCCAGGGUGGUAGCAUGUCCCUGUAGUCCCAGCUACUCGGAGGCCUAAGGUGGGAGAAUUACUUGCAAGGUCAAGGCUGCAGGGAGCUGAGGUGGCGCCACAACCCUCCAAACGGUGACAGCCCCUGUCUCCAAAAAAAAAAGUUUUUAAACUUUCCAAUUGUAAAAGGAUCCUAGUUUUAUAAAAUAGGAAUGUGUUUUGCCUUCCCCCCAUAGAGAGCCAGACAUGUUUGAAAUGUAGUAUUUGAGAAGCACAAAAUAAACGUCUUAACAUUA
ensembl:lncRNA SNHG6 small nucleolar RNA host gene 6